rnacentral:piRNA from 1 species
UGCCUUGUGCCAGGCUUCUCCUGGAUCUGU